AUUGAACGCUGGCGGCAGGCCUAACACAUGCAAGUCGAACGGUAACAGGAAGAAGCUUGCUUCUUUGCUGACGAGUGGCGGGCGGGUGAGUAAUGUCUGGGAAACUGCCUGAUGGAGGGGGAUAACUACUGGAAACGGUAGCUAAUACCGCAUAACGUCGCAAGACCAAAAAGGGGGACCUUCGGGCCCCUUGCCAUCGGAUGUGCCCAGAUGGGAUUAGCUAGUAGGUGGGGUAACGGCUCACCUAGGCGACGAUCCCUAGCUGGUCUGAGAGGAUGACCAGCCACACUGGAACUGAGACACGGUCCAGACUCCUACGGGAGGCAGCAGUGGGGAAUAUUGGACAAUGGGCGCAAGCCUGAUGCAGCCAUGCCGCGUGUAUGAAGAAGGCCUUCGGGUUGUAAAGUACUUUCGGCGGGGAGGAAGGGAGUAAAGUUAAUACCUCGGCUCAUUGACGUUACCCGCAGAAGAAGCACCGGCUAACUCCGUG
rnacentral:rRNA from 1 species